AUGUCAACAAAUUGUUUAAAUCAUCAGUGAUGGCAGCAGAGUUCUGAGAACAGAGUUCACGCGUUAACACCCGCCCCGGGCUGGCAGACGUUCUGCCGCAGCCAGAAGCAAAACACAGCAGGGGACCUCGUGCCACAGAGAAUCUCUCCGGGAAAAGGACAGCUGGGCUCUAGACCCAGCUCUGCCGCUGCCUCGCCGGAUAACCUGGGUCAAGUCACUUCCUCGCCCUCUGCCUCAGUUUCCCCAGCUGUACAAUGGAGCUAAUGAUACUGACCUCCUUUGUCAAGCACUUUGGAUCUGCUGUUGCAAAGCAACGUAUAAGAGCUAGGAUUAUUAUCAACAGAGUUUGACAUCAAGCACCAGGCAAGUGAGUGCGGAUGAACUGAGAGGGGUGGGGAUUUUUACUCUGACUUCUUAAUGGGAUUGUGGGGGGGCGGGGAGAAGAGGGGAGGGUGUUAGUGUGUGUAUUUAAUUCAAAUGGCCAAACAGUUGCUAAAGAUUUGACACUCCUCACCCCAUCUGCUAAGGGGCCCAAGCCACGUCACUGUGGGCUCCAAGGAGAUCUGCACCAGCCCUAGCAAGAAACAAAGCUUGAGAUUCUGCAUUGUUUGAGUAAGUGACUUUUGAGGAUGGCCAUCACCUGCCCAUUCUUUACGGCUGUGUGCGGGGGAGGUCCUAAAAUUCUGUCUGUCCUCAGGUGGAGUCACGGUAAGGAAGAAGUGAGAGCCACUGGUCUGUGGCCUAAGCCAAACAAACCGAAGCUGCAGUUCUUCCAGGCCUCCUUUAGCCACAGCAAAGCAAGGUAGACAGAGCACCCAUCUAAUUGUGCUCCUCUGCGGGGUCCCUUUAAGAGAACUGUUUGUAGCAAAGUUAGUGCACAAAUAGACACAACCCAGCCAUGCACUCUGAUGGGCCUUCAGUGAAGCAGGAGGUGUGUUUGGGUAGUGCCUAGGAGAUAAGACCUGCUUUACAAUGGCAAUAGGCUAAGAACAAGGGAAACUUUCUCCUCCCCCUCCAUAAGAAACAAAACUCCCACAGGGUAAUGGACCAGAACUCAAACAAGGACCAGCUCUGCAAACAGCCCUGCCUCUGCUGUGACUUAUAAAUCUUCUAAGGAGCUGAUGCAACCCCUGCCCUGCAUUUGGGGUUAAAUACAACUCAAC